ensembl:ncRNA C32C4.11 ncRNA
GGGAGUCUCUUAAUUUCAAAAAAAAAAAAACGAUUUUCUCUACGUUUCAAAAGCGCCGGGAGAUAAAUGAAUGUAGGGGUAUGAACGAGAAAUGAAGGAAAGAGAGAGAGAGAGA